rnacentral:rRNA from 1 species
GAUGAACGCUAGCGGCAGGCUUAACACAUGCCAGUCGAGGGGUAUUUAUCUUCGGAUAGAGAGACCGGCGCACGGGUGCGUAACGCGUAUGCAAUCUACCUUUUACAGAGGGAUAGCCCAGAGAAAUUUGGAUUAAUACCUCAUAGUAUAUAGACUCGGCAUCGAGAUUAUAUUAAAGUCACAACGGUAAAAGAUGAGCAUGCGUCCCAUUAGCUAGUUGGUAAGGUAACGGCUUACCAAGGCUACGAUGGGUAGGGGUCCUGAGAGGGAGAUCCCCCACACUGGUACUGAGACACGGACCAGACUCCUACGGGAGGCAGCAGUGAGGAAUAUUGGACAAUGGGCGCAAGCCUGAUCCAGCCAUGCCGCGUGCAGGAUGACGGUCCUAUGGAUUGUAAACUGCUUUUAUACGAGAAGAAACACUGCUACGUGUAGCAGCUUGACGGUAUCGUAAGAAUAAGGAUCGGCUAACUCCGUG